rnacentral:rRNA from 1 species
AGUGAACGCUGGCGGCGUGCUUAACACAUGCAAGUCGAACGGUAACAGGAACUAGCUUGCUAGUUUGCUGACGAGUGGCGCACGGGUGAGUAAUAUAUAGUUAAUGUACCCCAAAGACUGGGAUAGCCACUGGAAACGGUGAUUAAUACUAGAUACACCUCUUUAAUAUAAGUUAGAGAGGGAAAUGUCUUUUCGCUUUGGGAUCAGACUAUAUCCUAUCAGUUAGUUGGUGAGGUAAUGGCUCACCAAGGCAAUGACGGGUAGCGGUUCUGAGAGGAUGAUCCGCCACACUGGUACUGAGACACGGACCAGACUCCUACGGGAGGCAGCAGUGAGGAAUAUUGCACAAUGGGGGGAACCCUGAUGCAGCAACGCCGCGUGGAGGAUGACGCAUUUCGGUGUGUAAACUCCUUUUAUAUGUCAAGAAAAUGACGGUAGCAUAUGAAUAAGCACCGGCUAACUCCGUGCCAGCAGCCGCGGUAA